ensembl:rRNA 5S_rRNA 5S ribosomal RNA
GUCUAUGGCCAUAAAACCCUGCACGUGGCCGAUCUAGUCUGCUCUCGGAAGCUAAGCAGGGUCGGGCCUGGAUAGUACCUGGAUGGGAGAAAUACACU